rnacentral:rRNA from 1 species
UGCCAGCCGCCGCGGUAACACGGGGGGCGCAAGCGUUAUUCGGAAUUAUUGGGCGUAAAGGGCGCGCAGGCGGUCUUGUCCGUCAGGUGUGAAAGCUCGGGGCUCAACCCCGGAAGUGCAUGGAAUACUGGACAUCUAGAAUACAGUAGAGGGUAGUGGAAUUUCAGGUGUAGCGGUGAAAUGCGUAGAGAUCUGAAGGAACAUCAGUGGCGAAGGCGACUACCUGGACUGAUAUUGACGCUGAGGUGCGAAAGCGUGGGGAGCAAACAGGAUUAGAUA